UACGUAGGGGGCGAGCGUUGUCCGGAUUUACUGGGCGUAAAGCGCGUGUAGGCGGCGGCUUAAGUCGGGUGUGAAAGCCCGGAGCUCAACUCCGGAACUGCCUUUAAGACUGCAUCGCUUGAAUCCAGGAGAGGUGAGUGGAAUUCCGAGUGUAGAGGUGAAAUUCGUAGAUAUUCGGAAGAACACCAGUGGCGAAGGCGGCUCACUGGACUGGUAUUGACGCUGAGGUGCGAAAGCGUGGGGAGCAAACAGG
rnacentral:rRNA from 1 species